GAAGGUUUGUGAAGUGUUGCUUCACCACAUUCAGCACUCCAUGAAUCUGAAUCACUGGAAACCAAAAAACCAAACAUAUACCAAACUACUUCUGUAUUUCCAGCAUUUCCCCCAAAUCAAUGAAGCCCUAAUUCUACCUACAUUUAACCUAAUUCGUUGGUUCAAUCGCCAGAAACCAACGAUGUUCAAAAUUUCAAAAUCAAGCACAUGCCAAACUACCUGAACAUCUAAUUCUACUAAAUCACAAUGCAAUUUCUCAUGAUUCACAGAAUUCAGAAACGAAAUCACCAGAAAAAGAACUCACAUUCCUCUUCUUCAAUUUGGAAUCGCCUUCGGUGGAAGAGCUGUUGUGCCAUUUCAACAAAUCAAGGCUUCCCUUCGCGUUCAAAUUCGCGGGCUGAAACUCGUGCUUCGCCGGAACGCCCCCCGGAGACGGAUCCCCCAACCUGCCAGGCGUGGUUGAGCACCGUCCUUCCCUUCUCCGGCAGCACCACGGUGGCGAAUAGCGUGAUCGCUGUUGGUAAAGGAUUGCUUCGUGCACGUGGCGGAUUGUGAUUGGGAGGGCGGGAUUAGGAGGAGGAGGAGGAGAAGCGCGGUGAGGAGUAGGGCUGGGAAUUCGGUCAUCGGUUAGUCGGUUAACCGAGAACCAAACCGAAAAAAUCGGUUCUCGGUUAACCGAUAACCGAUUUUUUUGGUUAUCGGUUCGGUGUCGGUUCCCAUAUGAAGGUCAUGAUCGGUUCUCGGUUAUAACCGAGAACCGAUCGGUUAUAACCGUAAAGAACCGAUUGGGCUUAGUUGAUGUAAUUUAAUUAUUUAAAACUGGCCCAAAGACUCAUUUUACUAUUGAGCCCAAGUUACAUGAAGCCCAAUAUAUCCCCAAACAAUUACUAACCCUUCUCCCACAGUCCGUCAGUCCCACUCCCAGAGCUCCCUCCCACACCCUACCCCGCUCCUCCAACACGCCACACCCGCCGCCGACUCCCACCCGCCGGAGACUCGUUCCGCAGCGACUCCUUCCGCCGGCGACUCCUUCCGCAACGACUCCUUCCGCCGGAGACUCCUUCUUUAACUUAGAUGGAAACUUCAGAAUCUCUCACCCAAGACGUAGGUAGCAACCGGCCAGACCUCGAUAUUCUUGAAGAUAUUGAAAUUGAAGAACUAGGGCUAGGGGAAAAGGGAGAAGGAAAGGGAAUGGCGUCAAAAAAUGGGAAUUCAUCAAAAAAGCGUAAAAAUGUAGAGAGGUCGGAUGUGUGGGCUGAAUUUGAUAAAGUGAUUGUUGAUUCGGUUAAAAAAGGAAAAUGUAAACGGUGUGAUUCGUUGAUAGCUGCUGAUCCGAAGUUAAAUGGCACAUCCGCGAUGUGGAAGCAUCAUGCUUCAUGUUUGAAGAAACAUGAAGCGGGAAAGAAUCAAACAACACUCAGCCAAGAUGACUCGGGAGCUUGUGAUUCAAACAACACUCACUGAGGAGGGAAGGCGGAGGUGGCGAUGCCAUUUUAGUGAAGCUGAAACACAGAGAGAGAUUUGGAGAGAAAAGAUUGUGAUUUUAUUGUUUCUUACAAUUAGUUAGUGACGGAUUAGUGACGGAUUAGUGACGGAUUUAUGACGGAUUAGUGGCGGAUUAGUGACAGAUCAUUUUCUCCCCAUUAGUGACGGAUUUGUGGCGGAUUUGUGACCUGGUAAUUAAACCGUCAAAAAUUUGACGGUUCAGUCCAAAAUGGACCAUAUGUGACCCGCUUUUAUUUGUGAGGGACCAAAUAAUUCAAAAGAUAAUGUUUUGGACCAAAAUCAAAAAAUCGUUAUAUGUUAAGGACCAAAAAGGAACUUUAGUCUAGAUAUAUGUGAUGGAAAUACGAAAGAGAAGAAAAAGAUAAGAAGUAAAUG